AACGAACGCUGGCGGCAUGUCUAACACAUGCAAGUCGAACGAGGCCUUCGGGUCUAGUGGCGCACGGGUGCGUAACGCGUGGGAACCUGCCCUUAGGUUCGGAAUAACUCCCCGAAAGGGGUGCUAAUACCGGAUAAUGUCUUCGGACCAAAGAUUUAUCGCCUUUGGAUGGGCCCGCGUUGGAUUAGCUAGUUGGUAGGGUAAAAGCCUACCAAGGCGACGAUCCAUAGCUGGUCUGAGAGGAUGAUCAGCCACACUGGGACUGAGACACGGCCCAGACUCCUACGGGAGGCAGCAGUGGGGAAUAUUGGACAAUGGGCGAAAGCCUGAUCCAGCAAUGCCGCGUGAGUGAUGAAGGCCUUAGGGUUGUAAAGCUCUUUUACCCGGGAUGAUAAUGACAGUACCGGGAGAAUAAGCUCCGGCUAACUCCGUG
rnacentral:rRNA from 1 species